AAGAUGCUCGUAAACACUUGAACAACAUUGUCUUCUAUGUGUUUAGUCCUACGCUUAUCGGAAGCCGUUUAGUUGAUAGUGUUACUUAUGAGAGCUUGGUGAAAAUGUGGUUUAUGCCGAUUAAUGUUCUGUUCACGUUCAUGAUUGGUUCGUUCUUGGGUUGGCUUGUUGUUGUCAUCACUAAGCCACCUCGGCAUCU